UACGUAGGCAGCGAGCGUUGUUCGGAGUUACUGGGCGUAAAGGGUGUGUAGGCGGUUCUCUAAGUUUGGUGUGAAAUCUCCCGGCUCAACCGGGAGGGUGCGCCGAAAACUGGAGGGCUAGAGUGCGGGAAGGGAGAGUAGAAUUCCCGGUGUAGUGGUGAAAUGCGUAGAUAUCGGGAGGAACACCAGUGGCGAAGGCGGCAUCCUGGCCCUGUCCUGACGCUCAGGGGCGAAAGCGUGGGGAGCAAACCGG
rnacentral:rRNA from 1 species